AUGAGAAAGAAUCAUAUGGCCCAAGCAGUAAAACAUGUUACUAAGAUCAACUUUGAAGCUGACGUCUGCAUGGCCUACUUGCUUUACUUGUCAACACAUUUACAGUCAAAUCUCAACCAAGAAUUCAAUUUGGAGAAUUUUUUUGGAUUUAAACCAAUCAAUUCCGAUUCUCAUAAUGAACCGACUAAUUUAAUUUUGUGGUUCAGUGUGACGACUCCCUGGCCAGGCCUUAACUUUAACAAACUUGUCAGCGAACUAUGCCAAUAUUUCAUGUGGCAUUCACAUAUUUAUUCUGACUAG